rnacentral:rRNA from 1 species
UACGGAGGAUGCGAGCGUUAUCCGGAUUUACUGGGCGUAAAGGGAGCGUAGGCGGACUUUUAAGUGAGAUGUGAAAUACCCGGGCUCAACUUGGGUGCUGCAUUUCAAACUGGAAGUCUAGAGUGCAGGAGAGGAGAAUGGAAUUCCUAGUGUAGCGGUGAAAUGCGUAGAGAUUAGGAAGAACACCAGUGGCGAAGGCGAUUCUCUGGACUGUAACUGACGCUGAGGCUCGAAAGCGUGGGGAGCAAACAGGAUUAGAUACCCCGGUA